AUUGAACGCUGGCGGCAGGCUUAACACAUGCAAGUCGAGCGGGGGAAGGUAGCUUGCUACCGGACCUAGCGGCGGACGGGUGAGUAAUGCUUAGGAAUCUGCCUAUUAGUGGGGGACAACAUCUCGAAAGGGAUGCUAAUACCGCAUACGUCCUACGGGAGAAAGCAGGGGAUCUUCGGACCUUGCGCUAAUAGAUGAGCCUAAGUCGGAUUAGCUAGUUGGUGGGGUAAGGGCCUACCAAGGCGACGAUCUGUAGCGGGUCUGAGAGGAUGUACCGCCAAACUGGGACUGAGACACGGCCCAGACUCCUACGGGAGGCAGCAGUGGGGAAUAGUGGACAAUGGGGGGAACCCUGAUCCAGCCAUGCCGCGUGUGUGAAGAAGGCCUUAUGGUUGUAAAGCACUUUAAGCGAGGAGGAGGCUACUUUAGUUAAUACCUAGAGAUAGUGGACGUUACUCGCAGAAUAAGCACCGGCUAACUCUGUGCCAGCCGCCGCGGUAA
rnacentral:rRNA from 1 species